rnacentral:misc_RNA from 1 species
UGGAUAUUCCCUUGCACCAAAUAUAGUAGAUCCAACUCGAACAUUUGUACUGCCCAUCUCAACAGCAAGUUCAAAGUCGCCUGACAUGCCCAUUGACAGCUCACAUUGAUCUUCAGAUAUUCCAAGUGCCUCGCAAACUUCACUUCUACAUUUUGCUAAAGUCUUAAAGUUUUCAGGAGUCGAUGUAUAAUCUGGCAUUCCAAUAGUCAUCAAGCCACAGAAUUCAAGAUUAGGGCAGUUUGAAGUAACAUGUUUCACGAGUUCCAGACACCCAUCUGGUUCAACACCAGAUUUAGUUUCUUCCCCGCUUGUAUUAACUUGGAUAAAAACUUUCAAUGGCUUUCUUCCAAUGUUCGCAGCCACACGGUCAAGCUGAUUUGCAAUCUUUUCAUCAUCUACUGUCUCCACCAUAGCAAGAUUUGGCACUCCAGUUAAAAGUGGCUUGACUUUAUUGCUCUGCAAAUUCCCUAUGAAAUGCCACUCUAUAUCAUCUGGAAGCUGAGGAGCUUUCUCAAUGAGCUCUUUGACGUAAUUUUCACCGAAACAACGAUGACCGGCGUCGUAAACUUGUUUGAGGAGAGAUACUGGCUUAGUUUUGCUUACAGCCACCAGCCUUACUUGGUCCGAUCUGCGGCCACAUCGUUCAGCCACGUGUUCAAUCCGCUGAAUUACCGACCGUACUGCCGUCGCAGCGACACCAUCCGUAGCGGAAGCAGCAGCCAUUCCUGAAUCUGACGGUUCCGUCUCCAGCACUGCACUUAAUGAAUCUUUUUUCUCGCCUUUUGUUGUUU